ACGGGUGAGUAACGCGUGGGAAUCUACCCUGAACUGCGGAAUAGCUCCGGGAAACUGGAAUUAAUACCGCAUGUGCCCUGAGGGGCAAAGAUUUAUCGGUUCAGGAUGAGCCCGCGUCCGAUUAGCUAGUUGGUGGGGUAAAGGCCUACCAAGGCGACGAUCGGUAGCUGGUCUAAGAGGAUGAUCAGCCACAUUGGGACUGAGACACGGCCCAAACUCCUACGGGAGGCAGCAGUGGGGAAUAUUGGACAAUGGGCGCAAGCCCGAUCCAGCCAUGCCGCGUGAGUGAUGAAGGCCCUAGGGUUGUAAAGCUCUUUCAGUGGGGACGAUAAUGACGGUACCCACAGAAGAAGCCCCGGCUAACUUCGUGCCAGCAGCCGCGGUAAUACGAAGGGGGCUAGCGUUGUUCGGAAUUACUGGGCGUAAAGCGCACGUAGGCGGACAUUUAAGUCAGGGGUGAAAUCCCGGGGCUCAACCCCGGAACUGCCUUUGAUACUGGGUGUCUUGAGUUCGGAAGAGGUGAGUGGAAUUGCGAGUGUAGAGGUGAAAUUCGUAGA
rnacentral:rRNA from 1 species